AACGUAGGACGCGAGCGUUAUCCGGAGUUACUGGGCGUAAAGCGCGUGCAGGCGGUCUGACAAGUCUGAUGUGAAAUCUCCGGGCUUAACCGGGAGAGGCCAUUGGAAACUGACAGGCUGGAGGGCAGUAGAGGUAGGCGGAAUUCCGGGUGGAGUGGUGAAAUGCGUAGAGAUCCGGAGGAACACCAGAGGCGAAGGCGGCCUACUGGGCUGCACCUGACGCUGAGCCGCGAAAGCCAGGGGAGCAAACGGG
rnacentral:rRNA from 1 species